AGUGAACGCUGGCGGUAGGCCUAACACAUGCAAGUCGAACGGCAGCACAGUAAGAUCUUGCUCUUACGGGUGGCGAGUGGCGGACGGGUGAGGAAUACAUCGGAAUCUACUUUUUCGUGGGGGAUAACGUAGGGAAACUUACGCUAAUACCGCAUACGACCUACGGGUGAAAGCAGGGGAUCUUCGGACCUUGCGCGAUUGAAUGAGCCGAUGUCGGAUUAGCUAGUUGGCGGGGUAAAGGCCCACCAAGGCGACGAUCCGUAGCUGGUCUGAGAGGAUGAUCAGCCACACUGGAACUGGGACACGGUCCAGACUCCUACGGGAGGCAGCAGUGGGGAAUAUUGGGCAAUGGGCGCAAGCCUGGUCCAGCCAUACCGCGUGGGUGAAGAAGGCCUUCGGGUUGUAAAGCCCUUUUGUUGGGAAAGAAAAGCAGCAGGUUAAUACCCCGCUGUUCUGACGGUACCCAAAGAAUAAGCACCGGCUAACUUCGUG
rnacentral:rRNA from 1 species